UCAUAGAAGCACACAUCGAGUUCUCCUCCCAUUUUUUUUGUUCUCUUUUAACCCUAAACCAAGAUCUGCGAAAUUAAACACAAGUUUUCAGAAAUCAAAACCCAUUUAUUCUUAACCCUAAUCUCAUACUUCAAAUUCCAUCUUUCGGAAAUCAAACCCAGUUUUUCAAUAACCCAAUCCCUAGGUUUUCAAUAACUCAAUCCCUGGAAAUCGUUUUCUUCUGUAAAAUCAAACGAAAUUGUAAGGUAUGCUUCGUUCCAACUUGAAAUUACCUAUCUCGCGAUGAACUAAUAGAUCUUUCUUGGUAUAACCCUAAUCUUCUUCACUGUUUCUGUUAUUAUUGCUUUAUUUUGACCUAAUCUAUGAAUAACAUCUUUUGGUAGGUAAUAUUCUGUAAAGAUUGUGCAAUUUUUGUUUUUAUUUAUUAAAUUUGAUGGAGUUUCGAAGUAUGUUUUUUUUUUAUUUCAGUUUUGUGGUCAUAUGAUGUUCUAAAGAUAGUGUUGGUAUGUGGUGAUGAUGGUUUUGUUGGUGAAAGUGGUGUGUUUUGCUGCUUAGACUUGGAGGUAUGGUUAGUGUUGCAGAUUUUCAUUCUUAGGGAUUUGUUGCAGUGGGUGAAGAUAUUGUUGGUAGUGGUGAUUUGGUAUUGAAGCUGGUGGUUCCGUAGAUGUUGGUAUGUGGGUGGUAGGUUCGGUGAUGGAGGCUGACUGAGCUUGUUGGCACUGCAUUCAUCAACUCAUGCAUCCGGCCUCUGAUUAACUUCGAUUUCCCUUUUCUACAGGUUUGGUGUUGACAGGGUUAUAAAAAAAAAUUGUUGAAUGCUUGAUAGUAUUACAGUAGGUAGUGGCUGCAUCCCAAGAGUGCUAAUAUUAUGUGUUUUACCGCUUUCUCCUUAAUGUUGUGAUGGCCCGUUACGUAUAUGUUUCUUUGGAUGAUAAGGGUUUGAUUAUUGAUGUUUUUAUCUUUUAUUGUUUCAUGUGCACAGGGAGCAGCUACAAAAGAUUAAAUUAAAAAUGUUGCAUACAUGGGGUACAAUUGUAACAUGAAAACAUGCAUCUUUUACUGGUUCGUGACAGUGAAAAGACAGCAGACAAGAAGCUUCCAUGUGCUUUACAGAUAUCUAUAAUGUCUUUUGGUGAGAAAAAACCCCAUUUCUGGAUGUAAGCAUAGUUUUAUUUUUCUCUUUCAGAUGAUUUUUAAAGUGUAUAUGUAAUUUUUAUGAUUCAAUGGUUUGCUUAGUCUAGACCACUAAGUUUCUUUGAAUUAUAAAUGAUUAUUUGAUUGAACUUGGUUUCACGUAUAUGUAAGUGAUGAGCAAACCUGGCGGCAUCCCCCUGUAUGUGGAUGGCCAUGGACAUUACGUUCUCAAUUCGGCACCAAAAGAUGACCAUCAUGGUUACUCGAGGGAUUGUUUUUGGUUUUGUUGAUGUUGACUCAAGUAGGUGAAGCAUAUUAAACUUGUAUGAGCUAGUUGAGGCAUCAUUGGAAGUAACAUGCCGAAACUUGAUUGCGGGACCAAUUUAGACCAAGAAGCUUAUGGUUGCUGCCCCAUUGGUGUUACUGUGUACCAGAUGGUUGGAAUUUCCUGCAUUUGGACAAGUACCAUGGCUACUUCCUGUACCUGCAAUAGUGACUAUUGUUAGAGGAAAAUCAUAGUAAGAGAACACACUUGGAAGUUGAUACUGUUAUCUUGCUUGUCAACUCAAGUUAUCCACGCCAUAUAUAUGAUACAUUAAAAAUAGGCUGAAAGGUACAGGAUACGUACUUGUUCUGAUUUUUUCAUUUGUGAAAAUUAUGGCGCCUUAUGCACAACAGCAUGGUAAGUUGGUUGACAAAAAAAAUUGGCUAAUGGAGGAUCUGGUCAUUGUAGGUGUCACUUCAGGUGCUUCUUCCCAAGAUAAGAAAACAAAAGAUGGUUGUCGCUGGUAUUGUUAUGGAUGGAUUGGCUCAUUACAUCCUGUCAUUGUGCCAAGGGAGGAAAAAGAAUCUGAGGUACCUUGUACCAUCUAUAUCUUUUGUUCAAGUGAGUAUGGUUAAUAGGCUAGUUUAAAGUUGGGAAAGUCCUGCAGUGUGCCAACAUCUUACACACUCCCACUAUUUUCUUGUUGAUCCAUUCAUCAAAGAUAGGACUAAGUACUGUGAAGAUAUUUGAGAAACAACCUAGUAAUAGUAGCAUUGUAGCAAUUUUCUUAUGUUUCGAUUGUGUAUAUUCAGAAGUUCAUAAUGUUGUAAAAUGUUGUAAGAAUGAAUGAUUAUGUAUCAGUUCAGGGUUCUAUAUUAUUUGUAAUAUUACAAU